rnacentral:rRNA from 1 species
UACGGAGGGUGCAAGCGUUGUCCGGAUUUAUUGGGUUUAAAGGGUGCGUAGGCGGCCGAUUAAGUCAGCGGUGAAAGUCUGUGGCUCAACCAUAGAAGCGCCGUUGAUACUGGUUGGCUUGAGUGCCGUAUGGGUACAUGGAAUUGAUGGUGUAGCGGUGAAAUGCAUAGAUACCAUCAGGAACACCGAUAGCGUAGGCAUUGUACUGUGCGGCAACUGACGCUGAGGCACGAAAGCAUGGGUAGCGAACAGGAUUAGAUACCCCCGUAGUCC